rnacentral:misc_RNA from 1 species
UGGCUCUGGCAUCGAUGAAGAACGCAGCGAAAUGCGAUAACUAGUGUGAAUUGCAGACCUCAUGAAUCAUCGAAUCUUUGAACGCACAUUGCGCCCGCCGGUACUCCGGCGGGCAUGCCUGUCCGAGCGUCAUUGACAACCCUCAGGCCCUGGUGCCUGGUGUUGGGGCACUACAGCAUGCUGUAGGCCCUGAAAUCCAGUGGCGGGACCGCUGUAAACCCGGGCGUAGUAACAUUACGUCGUCCAGGGUGUUCCGGCGCGCCCCAGCCGUUAAAACCCCACCAUAUUAUCAAUUUUGGCCUCGGAUCAGGUAGGAUUACCCGCUGA